AAUAAUAAACGUCAGCGAGGAAAUGGAAGUAGAUUGGGCUCUAGUGGCAUUGAAGAUGGGCGGCUUGGUAAAGAUGACCUGCGAUAUAAAAUCUUGCGGAAAGCUGCGCUUGACCGAGGUCAAAGCAAUGGCCAGCAGAAUGGGGUGGACCUUCGUGAUUUCCUAUCAAGGCCUGCUCAGUCUUCAACAGCAAAACCUAGUUCACGGCAGCACAUACCUGAUCAGAGGGAUAAUAGACGACGAGUACCUGAGCCGAGGGAUAGUAGAGCACGGGUACCUGAGCCAAGGGAUAAUAGAGCACGAGUACCUGAGGCAAGGGAUAAUAGACCACGAGUACCUGAUCAAAGGGAUGAUAGACAGCAUAUGCUUCAUUCAAGAGGUUCUAGAGAAUAUUUGCCUGAAAUCAAAGAUUCAAGACAGUACAUGCCUGAAGGCAGGGACUUUAGAGGGCACCAUCCGGAGCUAAAGGAUGAUAGGUACAAUACACCCGAGUCAAGGAAUGUGAGCAUACUGGGACGAGCUCCCUUGGCAAGAAAUGCAGAUGCUUUACCCAUGAUGGACUCAAUAAGGAAUUCUUAUUCCCCGUGGACACUGGAUCGUUUAAGGCGAACAUCACCAGAUGGAGUUCAUAGUUCUUCUAGAGGUAUUUCACCACCAAGGAGAGGGGAGGAACUGCAGAGAAGACCUCCAGUGACGCCUUAUGAUGACCCUCGACUCAGUUCAUACACAAGGAAAGAUGUCUCUGAGCUUUCACGCCCCAUGACUUCUACAGGUUACCUGUCAAAUUCAUCCCAACCUGCCGGGCCUGGAAAGACUGUUGCACCAUUGCGUGCCCCAAUCCCUCAAUCGCGGAGUCUAGUGCAGAAAAGUUCAUAUGCAGUUGAGGAUCAACCUACUGUUGAUAGCUUUUUGCACUCGUUGGGUCUAGAGAAAUAUGCUAUCCAUUUCAAGGCUGAGGAAGUGGAUUUGUAUUCACUGAAGCAGAUGGGUGACAAUGAUCUGAAAGAGUUGGGAGUACCCAUGGGUCCGAGAAAAAAAAUUCUGCUUGCAUUAGCAUCUCGUGCCAGGAGACAAGUAUGAUUACAUGAACUAAUGCAAUUCAGAUACAUUCUGGAGCUUUGACGCAAAAACCAUGAGAGCUGAAGUGAGAUCUUGCAACUCUACAUAUGCCUUAUAGUCUGUAGAGCGUGUAUCUUCCUUCUUGUUCUAGCUGCGCGAAUCUGUAUGGAUCAGUUGUUAGAUCCUCUAGUCAAUUCUGUAGUUCCCUGCACAGGGCAAAAUAUUUUGCCAGAAGCAGUCUGAUCCUUUUGUUGUUUGUGGUAUCCUCAUUGUUAUGGAAUUACACACCAGUAAACCCUUUGACAUGAAAACAAAAAA
rnacentral:misc_RNA from 1 species